CCUGACGCAGCGACGCCGCGUGAGUGAUGAAGGUCUUCGGAUUGUAAAGCUCUGUCUUUUGGGACGAUAAUGACGGUACCAAAGGAGGAAGCCACGGCUAACUACGUGCCAGCAGCCGCGGUAAUACGUAGGUGGCAAGCGUUGUCCGGAAUUACUGGGCGUAAAGGAUGUGUAGGCGGAUAUUUAAGUGAGAUGUGAAAUCCCCGAGCUCAACUUGGGGGCUGCAUUUCAAACUGGGUAUCUAGAGUGCAGGAGAGGAAAGCGGAAUUCCUAGUGUAGCGGUGAAAUGCGUAGAGAUUAGGAAGAACAUCAGUGGCGAAGGCGGCUUUCUGGACUGUAACUGACGCUGAGGCAUGAAAGCGUGGGGAGCAAACAGGAUUAGAUACCCUGGUAGUCCACGCCGUAAACGAUGAGUACUAGGUGUAGGAGGUAUCGACUCCUUCUGUGCCGCAGUUAACACAAUAAGUACUCCGCCUGGGAAGUACGGUCGCAAGAUUAAAACUCAAAGGAAUUGACGG
rnacentral:rRNA from 1 species